AUUGAACGCUGGCGGCAUGCCUUACACAUGCAAGUCGAACGGUAACGGGCCUUCGGGUGCCGACGAGUGGCGAACGGGUGAGUAAUACAUCGGAACGUGCCCGAUCGUGGGGGAUAACGAGGCGAAGGCUUUGCUAAUACCGCAUACGAUCUACGGAUGAAAGCAGGGGACCGCAAGGCCUUGCGCGGACGGAGCGGCCGAUGGCGGAUUAGGUAGUUGGUGGGAUAAAAGCUUACCAAGCCGACGAUCUGUAGCUGGUCUGAGAGGAUGAUCAGCCACACUGGGACUGAGACACGGCCCAGACUCCUACGGGAGGCAGCAGUGGGGAAUUUUGGACAAUGGGCGCAAGCCUGAUCCAGCCAUGCCGCGUGCAGGAUGAAGGCCUUCGGGUUGUAAACUGCUUUUGUACGGAACGAAAAGCCUUCUUUUAAUACAGGAGGGUCAUGACGGUACCGUAAGAAUAAGCACCGGCUAACUACGUG
rnacentral:rRNA from 1 species